GAAGCAGACUAGACAAUCGCUGGUGACGAUGGUUUCGUCGUGACGAGAGGAAGGUCCGGACUCCAUAGAGCAGGGUGACGGCUAACGGCCGUACGCUGAAAGCUGAAGUGGGCGAAAGCGCAUGGAGGUAUAAGGCGAGGAAUAGGGCCACAGAGACGAGUCUUUGGGGCGUAGUAAAGCGCAAGCUGCACUAAACCACGAAGGGUGAAACGCGGUAACCUCCACCCGGAGCAAUUUCAAAUAGGCACGCGGUGAUGUGGCUCGCGGAGCGUGCGGGUAGAAAGCUUGAGCGGCGGAGCAAUCCGUCGCCUAGAGGAAUGAUUGUCAUAGCGUGCAAUAGCGAUAUUGUGCGCCGUAACAGAAUCCGGCCUAUCGGUCUGCUUCAUUU
rnacentral:RNase_P_RNA from 1 species